CCCCCCCUUUAUUUUUGUCUGUGUAUGUGUCGAUACCUGUGUCCCGCUGGGUGCUGGUGAAGGCCUGGCCCAGCUGGUGCCCGUUGAUCAAGGGCUGCCAUGCGCCAUCAGCCUCACAGGCAGCAGCUGGCUGAGGUGGUGAGGAUUUGUUUGGCCCUUCUGAGGGGAAGGAAUGCUGCACUUUGAGUGUUUGGUGCAGCCUCAGGACUGCUGAAAAUCUGAGGAAAGGAGACUGAGCAAAAACUCUUCUCAGGCCUGGUUCUGGUGGGCUGCAGUGUUCUAAUAAAUGGAGGGAGGUGGCAAGGUUGCCCAGUUCAGGCACCUUGUAGAAAGUGCCCUUUGGGAUGAAGAGCCUUCAAAAUGCUUUGAAGAGUAUUGGUGGGGACUAAGGAGGUUCCUGAGUGCAGCCUAACAAAAAAGUUCAAGAUAGAUGUAGAUGGCCCUAUGCCACUCAGGAGAAGCAGCUGUGUGAGGAGAAGCUCAUGUGGCACCCUGCGGCUGAUGGAGAUUUCUGAGCAUUACACAGAAUUGAUAGUCAAGCUUAACUCCUCUCCAGUGAGUGUCCAGUCAUGUGAGACAUUGUGCUGUCAGUGGCCUUGUUACCAUCAAUAUCAGCGUUUUUGGGAGGAUAUUGAGAAGUUUCAGGAAACAUGCAGCAUCUUGCAAGGCUGUAUGUUUGUAAGGAAUAAUAAUGCAAAACUAUUCCAGGAGCUUUCAGGCAUAGCUAUUAAACCAUUUAUUGUUCUUCCACUCCGCAUGAACUGUGGCAAUGGCAUCAUGUGAGUAAUUGUGGCAACAGGUCUGUGCCUUUCUCUGUGGAAAAGCCAAUUGUAAACUCUGAAGGACUAUCAGGAGUACGUCUUUACUGUUGUCCAAGGCAUGUGAAGACUCAGUGGAACUGUACUGCUGCUGUUGCCCUUCUGAAAGCAGUCACACUUCGAGAGCAUGGACCAAGCUACUCUGUGUACAUUUGGAAUCUUUCUUGAGCAGAUCCUGAAGGAUGCCCACAAUCUGCAGUCUUACUGCUGUGGAUAACUACCUGGAUUAAAGCUAGUUGGAGUAUUUUUUUGAUAUAUUGCAGAUGAACUGUAUACAUAUGUUUACCCUGAAAGAGAGGAACACAAACAGCAUGCAGGAUUGUCCCUAUUGUACUAGGUUUUCCCAUGGCAAUAAGCUGAUUCCAAAGGAAGAGCUACACCUUGUUCAUUUGCCUCAAACCAAUAAAGUUUUCCAAUGGCUUAGUAGGAUACCUUAG
rnacentral:lncRNA from 1 species